rnacentral:tRNA from 1 species
GCGGGUGUGGCCGAGUGGUCGAUGGCACUAGUCUUCCAAACUAGACUCAGAAAUGGGCGCGAGUUCGAAUCUCGCCACCCGCUCCA